AAAGAACUAAAUCAGAACUACCCUAAAAUUUUGAUUCAAUGUUUAAACAGACUUCUAAUUAGAGUCGGAAUGGCACACCACUUAUACGGCCUACACGUCUUAGUAGUUACUUCCCUUAUAUAUAUUGGCACCAUCUCCUAUGCCUCGGGAAUUAAUGGCGGCUGGACCUGGAGGUAUAUGAUUCGACAGGCUUUGUAGGAUAUAGUUUGUUGUUGCUGGGCAUUCACGUGAAUGGCAAGUUUUUGCCUUCUCGGAUAGCCGGAAAAGUUACAAAGAAACAAGGCCAAUGACCUGAGAGAGACCCAUCCGAAGCUAAAAUCCAAGGCUGGGUGACGCACGUGACGACGUGUGAGCUAACACAAUCGCAAUGCCCUUUAAUUCCAUAAAAACAACUCACCUCUAUACGCCAAACCAUAAAAAUGAGUGGUUGAUUAUGAUUCCAUUUUCGACUGUCCUGUUCCAUAGGGUAGCAUCCAUUUGUUUCACAAAGUAUUUGCCAAACUCGAAUAUCCUCUUCAAACGUUAUGUUCAAUCAUUCACCGGCUAAUUGAUGCGUAACUUCCAGUCAUUUGAGGACAAUUUGUAAUUUGUAUAGAGUAACACUCCUAGGCAGAAAAAUUAAAAGAAACAACUACAGUUCUCUUGUUUAAAAGAUUCAAGUCUGGGGCACAAUAACAGAUAUCAACUCAAAUUAUCAAAGAUUACAAUGGGGACUAUGGGGAAAAAAAUUAUAUAUAGAUUGCUUCCUCGUUGUCAUGGUUGCAGACUUGCAGUGACACUGGUGGGUGACCUCCAUCUCUCUUGUAUUAAUUGUGAAUGUUGAAGAGUGGCUCAAUGCUUAGUGAACCUCUCAAGGACUUCAAAGUAGUCGGGAAAAGUUUUUCUUGUGCAACCAGGGUCCUUGAUUGUGACUGGAACAUCCCCACAGGCAGCAAGGGAGAAUGCCAUGGCCAUUCUGUGAUCAUCAUAAGUGUCGAUCUCUGCGACUUUUAGUUUCUCAGGUGGAGUAAUAACACAGUAAUCUUGCCCCUCUUCAACAUUUGCUCCUAACUUCCUGAGCUCUGUACAAAUUGCGAUCAUCCGUUCUGUUUCUUUCACUCUCCAACUGGCCACUGCAAAUAAGAGAAAUCAAGAGAUUGGCAUAAAAGUUAUCUACAAGGAAAUAUAUGUGAAUCAUGCUAACAAUUUGUUCAGAUGAGAAGAUAAAAAUAUUUUAGAACUUUAAAUACCUACCUAAGGUUAAACAUGGAAAUUAUGACUGUUAUGAUAAAAAUAAAGAAAUGGUCUCUGUUGUUCCUUCAGAAAUGAAGCUUCCCAUUUAUUAUCACUACCAUCCUGUAUUACUCGUGAAGUCCAGGACCCAAGAAUGGGAUUUCAAUUAUUUAGAAUUGGGUUAAAUUCAUUGCCAUUUUCCAUAAUGAGAAGCCAAAGCUGUUCUAAUGAUCCAACAAAUAACAAUCACCAAUUUACCGUUAAUGUACUGCAUGGUCAUUUUAUUUAAAGAAUAUAAGACUACCAUUCAUAAACUUUUGAAGGUCAAACUAUACCGUCUCUUAUGGCAGUAGGGCCAUCAGCAAAAAGUGCAACCACGGCCAGCGUCAUAGCAACAUCUGGCAUUUUGUUCAUGUUGACAUCAAUAGCGCGCAAGUGUUUUUUACUAGGAGAAUUGCGUGGUGGUCCAGUGACAGUAACACUGUUCUCUGUCCAGGUAACUUUAGCUCCCAUUUUAUCAAGAACCUCAGCAAAUUUUACAUCCCCCUGCAAACUGCUCGUCCCACAACCUUCAACAGUGAUGGUUCCACCGGUGAUUGCUGCACCAGCCAGGAAAUAACUGGCACUUGAAGCAUCACCUUCAACAAAAGAAUUUCCAGGAGACUUGUACUUUUGACCACCACGAACGAAGAAACGAUCCCAGCUACCACUGUGUUCUAUGGUGACUCCAUAUCGCUCCAUUAACUUCAAAGUCAUCUCAACAUAAGGAAUGGAUAUCAGUUUAUCAAUAAUCUCAAUUUCUACAUCUCCAAGAGCUAAAGGAGCUGCCAUGAGCAAAGCAGUCAAGUAUUGACUACUAAUUGAUCCAGAGAGCUUAACCUUUCCCCCAGGAAGUCCUCCUUUUCCAUUUACACGAACAGGGGGACAGUUAGUAUCAGAACAUUCAACAUCUGCACCAAGCUGCUUAAGACCAGCAACCAAAUCUCCAAUUGGUCUCUCUCGCAUUCGUGGAACCCCAUCAAGUAUGUAGCUGAAGUAUUUUGAAUGGUUAAUUCCAACAGGGUAAAAAAGCAACAUUGAUAACUGAAACUAUAAGGCACAGGAGGUGGUGGACACCAAAUAGAACGGGGCAUACCCUACAAAACUAGAUGACAUCUGAUUGUUGCACUGAACUGAAAUAUUAUAGUUGUACAACACUGGACCAGUGAUCCCAGAGACAAUUUUCUUAUAUAUAAUGAAGUUAGAAAAAAUUAGAAAAAUGUUCUACCGGGCCUGCAACCUAAGAGAAUCCCAAAUUAUUAUGCUUAUUCCAAUAGUGUCACAGAGAAUAUCACAUAAAAUGGCAACUUUGUCAAGAUGAGACUCCUGAUCUACGCUUGAAACUUCCAAGUUGGUGGUGUAAGGCCUGCAUCCCAAUAAGAUCAAGUUGCAGGUGUUACGGGGCGGGAAAUUGCCAUCCUUGCUAUCUGCCAUGCUGACCAUGCCAAAUAGGCCUCACCAAGAGAGAUUAAAAAGCACGCUGAUAGAUUAGGGCUAUAUACGACAUGAAUUCCCAACCCAAUAAGUUCUAAAAGAGAAAUUCCAUUAAUACUUUUAGCAAGCUCAGAGUAGAAUUUUUCCACAUAAUCUCUUAAAAGGCAAAAUAAAUAGGGUGGAAAGGGGAGUAAGAUAAGAGAUACCUUGAAUUUCCCCCUGCUGCAGUAACAGCAGCUGUCAAUGGACGCAUUGCUGUUCCUGCAUUUCCGAGGAAAAGUUCAAUAUCAUUCUUUGAUCCUUUACCCACUGGAAAAUGACUGCCACAACCUUCUACAAUGGCUCGUUUGAGCUCAUUAUUGUCUUCCACAUGCAAGCCAAGCGUUCUCAGUGCACCAAGCAUGUAACGAACAUCAUCACUAUUCAGCAAGUUGUCAACAACAGUUGUACCCUCAGAAAGAGCAGCGAGAAGGAGAAUCCGAUUAGACAGAGACUUGGAACCCGGCAACGUGACGGUACCGGAAAUUUCUUUAAUGGGUUGCAAGACUAUCUCUGGUGCCGUUGAAGGCUUCUCGGAUGUGGCGACUGAAGCUGAAACUCUAACAGGGCUCCUCUUAACUUGAUCAACUGUACAAUCAGGCUUUCUUUGGCAGUGCUUCAAACCCCUAGAAACUGAAGACCCCUUAAACUGUGAUCUAAAUGAAAUUGAAGAUAGAUAUUUCGGUGUUUGUAGUUUAGAGAGAUUUGGGAAAGUGCAAUUAUGUUGAACCCCAUUGCAGAUUUUGCUCACUUGCGCCAUUUCUCUGCGUGUACAAAAAUUCUUCCUCCCUCUCUCUGUCUGCCUUCGCUUUGAAGAAGUUCUUUGAAGAAGAUGAUUUGUGGGUUACGUGCAACAGGAUUUGUGCAGUUAUACUUAACCAAAAGGGUAUUCACCUACCAGUUGCUCUUUUGGGGUUUAUAUUUUUGGAUUUUAAGUAGCAGAAGGCUGAAGGAAUGGGUUGGUGUCUCGGUGAUAGUGAUCUCAGUCAGCUGCAAAGUCAAUCACCAUCCACGUAGACAUGGUGACGUCCCAACCCCGCUGGGGAUUCAGGGUUUAGCUAAUAUACAGACGAUUUUACUAAUUAACUGAACUUUCUACCAGUUGAUUGAUGCCAGGUCAGCUAUCCAAUGGGAGGGUGAUGUUCGAC
rnacentral:misc_RNA from 1 species